AGCUUUGCGCAGUGGCACUAUCGUAGCCAAUGAGGUUUAUCCAAGGCAUGAUUAUUGCUAAUUGAAACCUUUUCCCAAUACCCCACCGUGACAACUUGCAAUAUAGUCAGCAUUGGCAAUUUUUGACAGUCUCUAUGGAGA
rnacentral:snRNA from 1 species